GCUUCAGUCUUUUCCCUACUUCCCAAGCCAGUCCUUAAACAUAGGCAAGGAUUUUGCCACCUGCCAUGUUUCCAGAACCAGGUGGCAUUUGCUCUAGUAAUAGCCCAAACCAGCUUACCAUUGAGUAAAUAUGUUAUUGUGUGCAGGUGACCUGGGUCCACCCCCUGCUCUGAUCCUAACUGCUGACCCAGACUUCAGAUUCAAAGCUGACUGAGGACAGUGUAUCAUUUAUUCCUGAACACCAGCUCCACAACUAGUAGAACAACAACCACAUUGAUGUGAGCUCCUCAUACAUCUUCAGCCAAGGCACACAGAAAAAGGAAAUGCCUGACAAACAACCCUUCUGAGUGAAGAAUGAUGGGAUCUAAUGCCAGGACUCUGUUGAUUGGCCAGUGGAUAUCAACACAUAUGAUGUAAGCAGAGACUUGAAAAGCAUUUAGCAUUGCCCUCUUGCUGCACUUGGAGAUAACCAUGUGAACAAGCCCGAGCUAUCCUGCUGGAAGAUGAGAGACACAUGGAUAAGAACUAACAACCUGCCCAACCAUCAGACUUGCGAAUGAGGCCAUCUUUGGUCAUCCAGUCACAAGACACCCCACAGAUGUACAUUGGCAAGAGUACAACAGGAGUCAGCCGGGACAACCCAGCCCAGAAGAGCUGCCCAGACAACCUACAGAAUCAUGAGCUAAAUAUGACACUCAAGGUGUAGGCAAAUAUGCACAGAGUCUAAGACUUAGGCCCAUUUUCCUAAAAAUUCCCUUUUAUUAUUGAACCACCGAAAUAAUUUUUUAAUAUUCUUAAACAACCAAAAUUGUGGUAAGCAUGUUCAGGUGCAGUGGAGACUGGAUAGUGUAUUUAGGACUCUCCUGGUGUGCCUCAUUACCUACCAAUUACACCAGACCAUCUGACAAAGCCUGCUCUUAACCAUACAGUGUGGUCCCAAGAAGAAUAAAAACAUGAAGUUCACAGCACUGCGGAGAACAGCAUCAGCCUUUUCCUAACUAAAGCUCUUUACUUCGUUAGACAUUAGCUCCCUCUUCUUUGCUCAGCCUCCUCAGCCACUAGUGACCAGCAUUAACCUUGAGGUUGUCUAAAGAUGAAAGAAGAGGCCUAGACAAUUCAUGACCAAAACACAAUCAUAGCGACUCUGUUUGACAUAGAGAGGAAUUGGACAACAUUGGAUCAUUCAUAUGAAUAUGUGCAUGUUUAAUUAAGUUGGCAGAGACAACACUCUUGCCAUGUGACACAGCGGCUCUCAAACUUUACUUGUUUCAGAAACAUCUGUGAUGCUUUUUCUAUCUACAGAUACCACAGUCCCUCCCCAGACCUCUUGGAUACAGGCUUUGAAAGUGGGUUAAAAAUAAGAGCAAAUGAUAAAAAUCACCAGAUUAAAAAUGGGCAAAGGACUUGAAUAGUCAUUUCUCCAAAGAUGAUGAACAAAUGGCCAAAAAGCACAUGGAAGAUGCUCAUCAUCAUUAAUCAUUAGGGAAAUGCAAAUCAAAACACAAUGAAAUACCACCUCUGGUUGAAUCCACAGAUAUGGAACCUACAGAAAUGGAGGGCCAACUGUAUUUGUCCUUUUGCAAUUGGCUUAUUUCACUAUUUUUAUUUGUAUUAUUUUUUAUUGUUUUUUCUGAAUAUUUUCAAUAAUACCAAUAAAAAACAGUUUAACAACUAUUUACAUAGCAUUUACAUUGUAUUCGGUAUUAUAAGUUAUCUAGAGAUGAUUUCAAGUAUUAAGGAGGAUGUAUGUAGGGUAUGUGCAAAUACAACACCAUUUUAUAUAAGAGACUUUAGAGUAUCCAUGGAUUUUGGUAUCUGUAUUGUACAAUUCCACUUAUAUGAGAUACUUAUAGUCAAAAUCAUAGAGACAGAAGGUAGAAUGGUGGUUGCCAGGGGCUGGGGGGUGGGGGGAAUAGGAGUCAUUGUUUAAUGGGUAUAGGGGUUCAGUCUUACAAGAGGAAAAGUGUUCUGGAGAUGGAUAGUGCUGAUGGUUGCACAACAAUAAGAAAGCACUUAAUACCACUGAACUGCACACUUAAAAACGGAAAAGAUGGUAAAUUUUAUAUCAUGUGUAUUUUACCACAAUAAAAUAAAAAU
rnacentral:lncRNA from 10 species